GUGUGCACCAAGCAAGGGUCCCUUCCUGCAGCCACCCUUACCACUCAAGGUCAUCUGCCUGGUGCCCCUUUAGAUGCUAGCCAGUUCUGAAGAGAACACUGAAUGACAACUCACUUCGAGUCAGCUGACUGUUGUGUCAUAGCUGCUGCUUUCUGCAUUGCUGCAAAUGCCAGCCCCAGCUCCUGCCGCUUUCUAGUCGCAAUGCAGCAAAGCUGACGCGUACAACUAGGCACAAAGCAACAGAGUUCUAAAGUUUUCUUUUUCUGCUACUACUUAGCAUUGCUCACAGGAGGAGUAUUUACCUUUGUUUAGCCAGGAGCCGAGAUGCAGUCUGAUUGUACACGAUGGCUUCUAGCGUGCAUAUUCAGCUGACCAGGUACUGCUCGGAGCCUGGUCACCAAACUGCCUCUGACGGGGCACGGCUGGUCGCCCACCACGCGUGUGUACAGUUUGGGGGCUUCGUACGCCACGCUGCUCUACCUGCAGGAGUAAAGGCUAGGACAAAGGAGAGGAUGCUUGCCAUGGUUUGUCUGGCUGGGGCCUGGGCGACUCACCGCAUUGACGCUGUGGGAUUCCCCAGCUCCCACUUAAGGCUGGUCACGGGGGCUGGCGCAGAUCCCCACUCCUCAGUUAGAACACGGUUUAAAGGAGAAACCAGACUCACUGACCUAAAUCAAUCCCAGUCCUCUCUGGAUGCGGGACAGCUGUCGACUAGCAGUGACACAAUCAGCCAUGGAGUGGAGAAUCCUUGCGACUGCAGUCUGGGUGCAGGUGGAGCCUGGGAGAAUGACAGUCUAAUUUUGGUCAUCUGAUGGCUGCUUCUUAUUUUCCUAAAUAAUCAAGCUCGCUAAGUACACAGUGGUCUGGAUUAGUCUUCCUUCCAUGCAGUCCUCAUCAACUCUGGCUGGAAAUCAGGGUGCCAGGCAAGCCUGCGUUAGGACUGGCUUCUUCCUACGUGAUGCUAUGCAGCUAGGAUGGGUCACCCUGACAACAAAGGAGGACGCAGAAAGCAUCACUUUAUCUUCUCUUGUGAUGUUAGCUGAACAUAGCUCUUCGCAGUGAUGCCCUCCUGUGUAUGUGUGCAUGUGUGUGUGUGCGUGUGUGUGUGUGUGUGUAUUUCAAUUCAUCUAAUCGAAGAACCUCACAGAUAUCACCAUGGAUGUGGUUUUUAAUGAUUUGGAAAGAAAGACAGCCUGUGGAGACAGCGAUUUGAGACAGCACAUUUAGGUUAUUGCCAAUUUGAAAUACUCCGUUUGCAAAGCCGAGCCCUAAGGGGCAAACUUGGUAACUGAGAAAGAGAUCGUAGAUAAAGAAAUAAAAAUGACAAGCGUAAUGGAGGCUCUGCGAAGGGACUGUCAGAGCAUCAGUUCAUGGAUGGCAAUUUCGCCAGGCUGAGACUGAAUAAUUCAUAGAUUGAAAGUACCCUGCUUUCACCUUUCCAUUUAAACCGGCAUGAUCUGAAUCUCUAAUAAAUUUUCAAGAUAAAGUAAAAUGCCAAUUUGAAUCUGAAGAGCUUUUCAAAGCAGAUGCUGUAUCCCUGAAUCUUUCCGUAUCUUCCACAAUUAUCCUAUGAGAGAGAAUUGCACUUCAUCACGAAGCACCAUUACCAGGGAAAAUUACUGUGAUUACAAUAGCAACAAUAGGACAGCAUCAAAUGAUCUCCAAUUUACCUAAUUUGCUAAGACUGACUGUGGUUUUAAUGCUCAUUGCAUGUCACCAUGACCGGCAACCAUGGAUCUGUCUCGAGCUGGAAAAAAAAGUAGGGUAAUGUGUGUACCUUACCUCCAAAAACCUAGCAAAGAACAUCCUUUUAGGUUACAAUAUCUCUUUCAUUUGGUUUACUUGUUUUGCUUUCUUUCUAAUACCUCUACCCCAAAUGCCUGCUUGGGGAAAUGGUGAGCCUGUUAUGCAUUGUAAGUUUAUUCUUUGCUACAGGAGAGGACUGAAUUGCUAAUUUAUACACCCUCUUUAUUUUAAUAUAUACAAGCAUGUGUUUACCAGAGGGAGGAAAGAUUCUGUCCUGGGAGGAUAGUUUUAAAAUGCAGAUAAAAUCCAAGUGUGCAUGUUUGCUUCUUCUUUGAAAGCCUUGUGCGUUUACAGGUUAGAAAUCCUUCCAGGGAGCUGUAAUCCUGGGGUGGUGUGUUAAAAACCUUUCAGACUGAACAGCAGCUCAGGUGGCAGAGCCGAUAAUAACCCGGCACAGCCCAUACUGAAAGCGUGUGUGGGAGAGACUUCAGUUGUUCUUUUCUGCUCACUGUGGAGAAGUCUGCUUUGGAGAACUUUUUAUCUGACAGACUGCUCUGCUCAUUUGGAGGUAACUGUGCCGUCUUGAGAGGGUGGCAUGGAUCAUAAAUUCUCCCUGGAGAACAGACUGUAAUCAUUUCAUAGGCACAGUGACUUCAGGAAUUUGCAUUGCACGAAGAUGGUGGUAGGUUGCUUUGGUACACAAGAAGUAACCCAGUGGCUUUAUGAACAAUCACCAGCUCUUCUACCUGGAUGCUUCUCUGCCUUUUCCCUUUCCUCCUCUAGUUUCUCCACUUGGUUUUCUCUUUUCUACUUUCUCUCCACUCCUACAUUCACCCCCUCAGAAACAAGGGAAACAAAUCAUAUCAUGUUUUAAGUCAUUCCACUGCAUACAAUUUCAUAGAAAUAGUUACAGGAAGCAAAGAUGAGGGAUUAAAGAAUCACAAGAACUAUUCAGGGAUUAGUUUCUCUUGGUCUUAAUUAAAACAUAAAUGAGUUGAGGACUGGCCUCUCAAGACCUUUUCACUAAUCCAUUCCUCGGAUCCAGUCUUAUGCAUGAGAUUUAUCAUUACUCUCUUAACUGAACCCUACACUGAAUUUCACAAGUCCCUUAAUACUUGUGUCAGUGUAGCUUCUGAGAAUGAGGCCAUUUUCUAUGCAUCCAAAAUCUGCUGAAUUUCAUAGACUGUAGCUUCUGGCCACUGGCUUUGGUUGGCAGCACUUCCAUUCCAGAGCAGCACCCAGGCCUUAUGCUCUUGUCCCUUGGCUCCCCGGGGAUGGGGAAGGUCCCACAGCUCCCUUUCCCAGGCUUUGGUACACCUACACCAGGUAGUCACCUUCUACGUGGUGCCUCCCUCAGCCAGUUUUCUUUACUUGGUUCAGCAUGCUCAAAGCUUUUAUUUCAUAAUUCCCAUGGGGUCUGUCCUUGUCUGAAAUGCUUCCAGUUUGCCUAUUUUUACAAAGCAGUAUUUGGAUAUAACAGACCAAUUAAGAGUUUAGGCUCUGUAGCAAGACAAACCUGGACUGCAAUCUCAAUUUUCCAACUAAACAGGCAUAUUACCACAUUAUUUUGUUUCCCUUCUUCAGUGUUGCUGUAUUAAAUUAUAUUUAUGUAUUAUAAUAGAUAUAUGUUAUACAUGCUACAUAUGUGUAUGCAGGUACUUAGCAUAGUACCUGCCACGCAACUGAUAAUCAUUCUGUACUAGUGUCAUCAUUAUCAUAUCAAUGGGUGUCAUCAUCCUAGACCUCAAAUGGCCCUCCCUCAAUCACGGUCACAUAAUAAGUCCUCAAAAACUGCCCUCUCUUCCUAUGUCCAAAUUUACUCAUCCUAAUGAACCUUCCAUUAGAGUUCUUUCUUUUUCUCAAGGUCUAAAAAUAUCCCUGGCUUCCAGCUCAGGGUGGAGCCCAAUGAACCAUUAAGCUCCUCCAGAAACUUCAUCGUGAUGUGGAACAAGAAGAUUGAUUUUCCAAGAGCCCCAGGCCCAGAAGGCGCUGGAGUCACUGAAGAUUUGAGAGCCCCAAGCAGAAACAGGACUGGCUGCUCCUUCAGAGCCCACAGAAGAGAUGUCCAGGGGUUCCCAUGCUGAGCAUGGUUGGGACCUCUCUCAAGAGGUUCCUAGGAAUGGGAGGUUUGAGAUACUCAAUUUAUGCAUUUGAGGAACCAAGGAACAGGACUGCACACGAAUUGCUUCAAUGGCCAUUGAAGAGGAUGAAGAUCUCAGGCUUUCUGGGACACAACCAGAGGCUGAGCACACCUUGGAUCAUCCUUGAAGGAACCACAAGAAUCACAUGGCACUUGGGAAAGGGUGAAGUAGCUGCCAUUGGCUGGUAUUCCAACAAAUGUUCAUUGAGCACCUAAUGUUUGCCGCACAAUAUUCUAGGGGAUAAAUAAAAAGAAUGUAAAUUCUGCUCUCAAGGGGCUUAUCAACAGAUUAGAAGAUGUAUUUUCAAAAUACAUAUGUUUAAAAUUUUC
rnacentral:lncRNA from 1 species